CUAAUAUAAUUGUAACCUAUGUUGUUGGAGAGAGAAAUAACAUCGUGGAAGAGACAUAAAGUGUUACCGCAGCCGCUCGCUCCUCAUGUUUGAUUAGGCGGAUUUCACACUUGCUGAUACAACAUCCAAGGGAUUUGAUCUCCUCUUGAAGCCAACCAAAGAUCUUUCACUCAUUAGGUCUGGUCCCCUUUGAUGUGCACGUCCAAGAUCCGGAAGGCUGACACCCUUUCCACACAUUCCCCGCUGAUGAAAAUGGACCGAAUGUCCUUUCUCCUGUUAAUCAUCAGCUCACUGAUGUUG
ensembl:lncRNA